UACGAAGGGGGGCUAGCGUUGCUCGGAAUCACUGGGCGUAAAGCGCACGUAGGCGGCUUUUUAAGUCAGGGGUGAAAUCCUGGAGCUCAACUCCAGAACUGCCUUUGAUACUGAGAGCUUGAGUCCGGGAGAGGUGAGUGGAACUGCGAGUGUAGAGGUGAAAUUCGUAGAUAUUCGCAAGAACACCAGUGGCGAAGGCGGCUCACUGGCCCGGUACUGACGCUGAGGUGCGAAAGCGUGGGGAGCGAACAGG
rnacentral:rRNA from 1 species